GCGUCUCUUUGAAUCAUAUACUUUACUACAGGAACCUGGGACCCUCCAUAUGCUACAGCAGACCCAACCAGUAUAAUAUAAUAUAAGAAUUUGAGUCCAGCAAUAUCUGGAUGACCAUAAGUUCCCAUUCCUGCUUUAAUCCUGCACGCAUGGACACAGACUCAGUAACUAGGCAGAAACAUGAAAUUUUCUUUUGUUAACCCUGGGUGUCAAUAAAUGACUCAUCUAGCAGGUGUUUCUGUUAGUAUUUGUAUUAUAUUUGCUUUGUAAAUGUGUUUCACAAAGAAUAAAUGGUAUUGGGGAAAGGAGGUGGCAGUUGGCAGUUGGCAGUUGGCUGGUUGUUCUGUUAGCUGAUUCUUUGACUGAGAGUGUGGAAGCGUGGUGACUUCAAGCAGACCCUGUCUGGGGGAAUUUGUGAGAUUUAAGCAAGCUAUGGAUUAAUAACUUACGCACUGUUUUGAAGGAGUUUUGAAAACAAAGAAAGACUAAACCCUCUGUUGGGCUCAAGAGAGAAAAGCACAUUGUAUUUGUGUGAAUAAUACUUGUUGUUCAACUGUUGCCAACCUGACAUGUAAAGAUUUAUCUUCAAGUCUUGGAGAAAAAUCUCUUGGUGAUGAACUGUGCCAGCACCAAUGCGAAAGACAAUCACUACUAGCUUCAAAACAGACAUUGCAAUGAGAGCCAGAAGCUUGCUUGCAGACCCUGAUUAAAGCUCAUAGGAAUUCGACCCCAUUAAGGACUGCAUGGAAGAUCCAACCAUGUAACUAGAGGAACUGUGAAACAACAUAUGAACCAAUGAAGCAAACCUGUUUCCAAACACUGGUACUCAUCUUUAGAAAUCAAGGCCCCCUGCUGAGCAAGGUCCAAGAGCAGAUCCUCAAGGAGGCAGCUUUACAAAAGCCACUGCUAACUGCCUCUGACAAGCUGCAGUCUGGGUUUCCUGCAUGGUGUGUGGAGCCUGGAUCAAUGGCUUGGAAAUAUUUCUGCUUGCUGCAGUCAAUUGUGCCUUCCAGGCUUGUUAUACCAUGGCUGAGCAAACACAUAAUUUCCAACUUGUCACCUACAAUGGUCUCUUUCUAUUCCCUACCAUUUUGUGCUGACAGCCAGAGAGAGAGAGAGAGAGAGAGAGAGAGAGAGAGAGAGAGAGAGAGAGAGAAUGGCAGAAAGCAAGGAGACCCAUUCUGCACAGAUUAAGACAUAGUUUUUCAAAGAAAAAUAACCCAGUUGACCCACCAUUUCCAAUUAAAAGGCUUUCUUGUGAGAUGGUUUGAAAAGACAAUUGCCUGUGACCCACAAGAACCUGUUCUAGUCACAGAUGCCAACACUGGACAAAAUGGACCCAAUGGCUGGACUCAGUUUUGUAAUUUAAUAUAACCAUAUAUUGAACUCAUCAAAAUGAUCGCAGAGGCAAAUUCACUACAGUUCAUGGUAGCAGAUAAUUUUAUCUGCUAUUUCAAUUACCUUUAAUGGUCCCCAACAGGACCGGUCUAAGAGGUUUUGCUGUGAAGUGAAAUGUCAAGAUGUCCCUCAAUUCCAUGUUCAGAAGCCAAAUGAACUAGCAGUUGAAGCUUACUUCGCUAUUGGCGAUUGGACAGCUACAAAGCACCAGGCAGCCCAUGUGGCACACACAGUUCUGUCCUCCAUAAUGUCAAUGCUGCCCCCUGCCCCGCACCACCUGCCCCCCGAGAAAUCCACCUUGUUCUAAUCUACCUAAUGGUAGGGCCAGCCUUGGCACCUAUGCAGUCAGGGUAGUUAAAUUUUCCUCUUGCUGUGCAAGAGCUGCUCAUCAAUAAAUUGUUCCCACAUGGCUGGGAGAAUAUCUAAAGGGCAUCUAUAGUCAACUGCAAUUUAACAGCAGCUACACACUUUAUGUAGUAACAUUGUGUGAAGAGGGAGUUUGCAGGAUGGCAUUUGUUUAAUUGAUAGUCCACUCUUCCUCUGAGGAGCUUGGAGCAGAUUACAGCCGGUUCCCAAGUAUUCUCCCAUCAAAGCAGUUUACAAAGCCAGGCCUGAUUAGCUUAAGGCGGCCUAUCAGCCUUCAGACCAUUCACCAGGUCAAGUUCUGGUAGCCCAGGAGCAGUAAUAAGCAAUUCAAACCACAUAACAACUACCACAUGUGAAAUAUUCAACCCACUACUACAAAUAAUUGAAAUACUUUUGGUGAACAAUGCGGGGGGGGGGGCAGAAUCCAAAAGGUAUAGAAGGAGAAACUAUUUUACUUCUUGAUCAGCUUUUCCAGCAUGUCUGAUCCAAGUGCAUUUCAGCACACUUGUUAGCUCAUUUGCUGUCACUAUUAAUCAGGCAUUUGCCUUUUAUGUUGAAGCAAACAAGACUGCAUUGAGAACUAUGCUAACUGAUUAAUUUUUUGUAAAUGAACAUUCCAUUGAUUUUCUUAAUUUGAUGCAUCAAUCAUCCAAGUCCUCAUUCAAGUAAGUGACCAGGGAGGUACUCUUCCCACCUCGGAGUCAAGAUAGGGGAUCUUUGAGAUUGGCAUAAUCAGUCUUGACAGACUUGAACCAUCAUCUUGUUCAGAUGAUCUGCAAGAUCUGCCAUUCAAAAAAGUGGGGGGUGGCAAAGAUCUUUAUCACUGUGCUUUGGGAAAUGGAGAAAUGCUUGCUGAAUGGGCAGGAUGUAAUCGAAGGAUGAAUGCUGGUGGUUCUGUCUCAGUGUUCACUACAUGGUGAAUGUGGCUUAUUAGGAUUUUCAGAGAUAUUUAAGGUCAAGUCACAAAACUAUCAGUCCAGGGAAGCCUGAAGGGAAUCAAAUCUGUGUUAUAGAUGGCAACAUGCUGAAUCAGUCAUUUGAUAUAAACUUGUUGCAUCUGAGCAUGGAAACACAAUUAGUGCCGCAUGGUUUUCAACAGCAGUCAACCAGAUGUCUUUGGCAGCUCAUACAGAGGGCAUGAAGCAAUGUUCUUCUCUGCAUCAGUGACUAGAAGGUGACUAGCUGUUGGAGGCAUUAAAGGUCCUUUAAGUCCAUAUUUGAUAGCACAGGUCUCUGGGAAAUCAUGUUGCAGCAUUCUGCACUAACUGCAGAUUCCAGAACAAGUGUGAGUGAAGUCCCACAUAAAGUGCAUUGUACUGUAGUAAUCCAAACUUGAAUUAACCAAUGCAUGAUCUACAGCAGCCAAACAAAUGGUCAUGGUUGUUGUAACCAUUGCAAUUGGUAAAAGGUGCUUCUAGUCACAGAAGCUACCUGGGCUUCCAGUGACAAAGAUGAAUUUAGAAGCACCUCUAGGCUGCAAAUUUGCUCCUUCAGAGAGGGUGCAACCCCAUCCAGGGUAGGCAGGUGACCCAUUUCUUGGACAUGGGAACCAAUUUUGUGAAUGGUUUUAUUAACCGAAAGAUUUAAGUUGUGUGUUCAUUAUAGUAAUCCAUGCAUUGGUGACCUCAAGGCUAGAUUACUGCAAUGUGCUCUGUGUGGGUUCUGCCCUUGAACCUUGGGAGCUCCAGCUGGUGCAGAAUGCAGCAGUCAGACUGCUGGUGGUGGUGAAGGGGCUUCUGGCUGAGAACAUGUGACUCCAUUGUUACAAACAUCUGCACCCAACUACUACUGAGCCAGGUUCAAAGUGCCUGUAUUAAUUUACAAAGCCCUGAACAACUUAGUUCCAGCAUACCACUGGGACCACCUGAUCCCAGCUCAAUCACUGCAGGAGCAUUGUUGGCAAGGCUCAUCUGACAGCAACAAGAAUCAGAGCCGUUAAUGUCAUCGGCACAAUAUGAUCUCUGCCAACAGAGAUUCAGCACAUCUUUGGUUUCAACUUGCCUGCUAACCACCACCACCCCGCCAGACUUAUGCAGGCAAUUAAGAAUAUGUUUUCCCAUAAUAGUUGAUUUCUGAUUUUAACACUUCAAUAUGAGUUUUAUUGCAUAAUGUUACAUAUAAUUGUUACAAACCACUCAGAUUUUUUUUUACAAUGAAAAGUGGUGUAUAAAUAUUUUUUAUAAAUAUACUGUAUAAAUGUUUGUUGCUUUAAAAUGCAAGGGAGAAGACUGAACUCCAAAUGAGUUUUAGCUGAAAUAAGCUGACAACGGAAAAUUACCCAAAUUAUUAAGAGCUGACAUCUAUGGUAUUAUUUUACUA